CACAUUAUUAACAGUUAGCAGAAACUCUUUUAAUCUGAUAUAGCAAAUGGCAUCAAAAAUCAAAGAAACCCCAAUAGAAGAAGACAUUUCUUUAGAUUAUCUGUUUGACCUCACCAUGAAAAAGAAGUGGAACCAAGUUGAAAAGGCUUACAAGAAAUAUCCCUCCACUUACAGAGCCAAGCUCACUAAAUCAGAAGAGACAGCAUUACAUAUAGCCAUCUCUAGUUACCACUCUGAAUUACAGAGCUCUGAUUUGAAAAACAGAUUGAGGAAAUGAUCAAAUCCAUACCUGACAAAGAUGCAUUCGAGGUAUUAUCAAUGAAGAAUGAUAAAGGAAACACUUCUCUCCAUCUCGCAGCAGCAGUCGGAUGGCUAAGUAUCUGCAAGCGCAUAGCUUUAAGGGAUCGUGAACUCAUUAACACUCGCAAUUUAAAGGGGGAGACCCAGGGCCGGUC
rnacentral:lncRNA from 1 species